rnacentral:lncRNA from 1 species
CUUUUCAUUUUACUAUUAAAGGACAAAUGCUAAAAAACUGAAGAUGAAGCCAUGUUCCCCGGGCAGAAUAGACAGCAGGCGUUGUGGCUGUCUUGCGGGAGUCAGACUCUAACACGAAGCCCGGCUUCCCCCAGAACAAGGAUCGUUUGGCUGCUAGAGUGUACACUGGAUAAAGACAAGAUGGAAAGCAGGACUCCGCUGCAAUGGAAACACCACGAUUUGCUUCCACCUUCCAGACCCAGUGCCUGCUGCUGUUCAGGUCUGGACCUGCCGAAUUCCUGUAGUCUGUUAUGAUAAUGUUGUCUUCCAGGACUGCCUGUAGUGUGGUUACCAAAGGUGUCUGCAAAGACGUCGGAAGGAAUCUGAGUUUUCCAGGAAGCCGGCUGUUUUCCCUUGGUUUCUAACACCCCUUCUGAACCGGGAGCUUGGGAUGCUGUAUAUUUAAAGGCAUCUGUUGUACAACUGCCGAGCCGAGAGCUCUCUCUCGAGGCUGGGUAAUCACACAGAUGGCGAGCUUCACCACCAG